rnacentral:rRNA from 1 species
GUGAACGCUGGCGGUAGGCCUAACACAUGCAAGUCGAACGGCAGCACAGUAAGAGCUUGCUCUUACGGGUGGCGAGUGGCGGACGGGUGAGGAAUACAUCGGAAUCUACUUUUUCGUGGGGGAUAACGUAGGGAAACUUACGCUAAUACCGCAUACGACCUACGGGUGAAAGCAGGGGAUCUUCGGACCUUGCGCGAUUGAAUGAGCCGAUGUCGGAUUAGCUAGUUGGCGGGGUAAAGGCCCACCAAGGCGACGAUCCGUAGCUGGUCUGAGAGGAUGAUCAGCCACACUGGAACUGAGACACGGUCCAGACUCCUACGGGAGGCAGCAGUGGGGAAUAUUGGACAAUGGGCGCAAGCCUGAUCCAGCCAUACCGCGUGGGUGAAGAAGGCCUUCGGGUUGUAAAGCCCUUUUGUUGGGAAAGAAAAGCAGCAGGUUAAUACCCCGCUGUUCUGACGGUACCCAAGAAUAAGCACCGGCUAACUUCGUG